AUUGAACGCUGGCGGCAUGCCUUACACAUGCUAGUCGAACGGCAGCACGGGUGCUUGCACCUGGUGGCGAGUGGCGAACGGGUGAGUAAUAUAUCGGAACGUACCUUAUUGUGGGGGAUAACGCAGCGAAAGCUGUGCUAAUACCGCAUAAUCCCUUAGGGGGAAAGCGGGGGACCGUAAGGCCUCGCGCAAUUAGAGCGGCCGAUACCUGAUUAGCUAGUUGGUGAGGUAAAGGCUCACCAAGGCGACGAUCAGUAGCUGGUCUGAGAGGACGAUCAGCCACACUGGGACUGAGAAACGGCCCAGACUCCUACGGGAGGCAGCAGUGGGGAAUUUUGGACAAUGGGGGCAACCCUGAUCCAGCAAUGCCGCGUGAGUGAAGAAGGCCUUCGGGUUGUAAAGCUCUUUUGUCAGGGAAGAAACAGCAGCUCUAACACAGUAUGCGAAUGACGAUACCUGAAGAAUAAGCACCGGUUAACUACGUGCCAGCAGCCGCCGUAA
rnacentral:rRNA from 1 species